rnacentral:rRNA from 1 species
CCCAUGGAGCUUUAAACCCAAUUAUAUCUCUAACCACUAUAACCAUUUAAUCACUUAGAACUUAUAUACUUGGUUUUAGGUUGGGGCGACCACGGAGCACAACCAAACCUCCACGAUGAACGGAACAACCCCCUUAUCUGAGAAUUACACUUCUAAGAAUUAGCACACUAACAUAAAAUGACCCAUUAUUGAUCAACGAACCAAGUUACCCUGGGGAUAACAGCGCAAUCCAUUUUAAGAGCCCCUAUCGACAAAU